rnacentral:rRNA from 1 species
GAUGAACGCUGGCGGCGUGCUUAACACAUGCAAGUCGAGCGGAAGGGCGCGGCGUUUGUUUGUCUGUCGAUUGGCGAGGGGGUGUGUAACACGUGAGUAACCUGCCCUUGACUGUGGGAUAACUUCUGGGAAAUGGGGCUAAUACCGGAGAGGAUCUUCUGCUGCGUGGGGUUGGUUGGAAAGUGUCGGCGGUGGUGGAUCGACUCGCGGCUUAUCAGCUGGUUGGGUGGGUAGUUGCGGACCAGGCGUUUGACGGGUAGCCUGCCUGGGAGGGUGACCGGCCACCUUGGGCCUGCGAUAGGGCCCAGACUCGAACGGGCGGCAGCAGUCGGGAACCUUGCACAAUGGCGGGAAGCGUGAUGCGGAAACGCCGCGUGCGGAAUGCUGGCCUUCGGGUUGUAAACAGAUUUCGACUGUGCCGAAGCGUGAGUGACGGUACUGGGUCAAGAAGCCACGGCUAACUACGUG